AUUUUUAUAAAUAUUGGAACAAUAAAGUGUUAAUAAAAUAAUAAAUAAUUGUAUAUUAAAUAUAAUUAAAGUAUUAGAAAACUAAAUUAAAUUAAUAUUCGAUGAUACAAAAUUUAAUGUAAAACAAUCAAACACCGAAAUCAAUUUAAAUCCACAACAUUUGCAGUCUUAUAGAUUGUCAUUUAAAUAAGAUAUUAUUUGGAUUCGAAAAAUUCAAAAUAAAAAUAAAAAUGUGAAGUUCGGACCGAUCGAGGAAACUUCAAACGCCGUAGUUCAUCCGUCUAGAUUCUCGAAUAUCGAUGGUGUGGACUGUGGAAGAUGGAUGUAAAAGGAGAAAUCAUAUCUACAAAGCUGUAGUCAACAUAACCGCAUAACCAAAAAACGGAUCAAUCAGAAACAAAAUCUCAACGAGAUGCACAGAGUUCGAGUCAAUAAAGAUUAUUUGAUAUAAAUUAUUGGGACCAGAAUAAAUCGUAAAAAUACCAAUAAAAUGUAAUACCACUAUCUCCAUAAUAUCCGAUAUCAGUCGUAUCCAGUGGUGGACGAAUCGGUCAAUGAUGGACAAUACACAGACCUACAUUUUAGGAGAUGCUCAAAUUGUUUUUAACCAGAAACCGGUGGAAUGACGGGAGGAAGAACUCCGUAACAACAUCUCAAAUAAUUUUAAUUUCAGGCUCCUUUAACAAUUUUUAAAUCACAUAAGAUAUUUAGUCAAAAAUUAUGAAUUUUCACAUAAGUAUUUAUGUUAUUAAAUUUUUGGUAAUUUUAACACUUUUAAAUCUAUUUUCCUACAAUACAAAUAGAAUAGGUAUGUUAAAUAACAAAAAAAAAAUGUGAAAACACACAUAUAUAUUUUUUUUUAUUUUUGCUAUGUAUCUACUCAUUCAGAACUGAUUAUUUAAAUUAUUUAUAAUAUCUCGUUGAAUAUUUAAAAUAGAUAUAUUGAGGAAUCUUUAUUGUAACUGUAACAUAUUAUAUUUAUCUUUAUCCAAUUGUUUGGCACAUAUAUUACUGUAUAUAUCAACUUGAACAACUGCGCUCGCAUGUUAGCUUACUUUAGUAGAAAUUUCAAGUAAUUUAAACGAGUUUUAGAAAAAAAUCACUUUUUGUAUGGGCAUACCAAAAGCAUAUUAUUUCGUUAAUGAAAUUUUAUUAUGAUAAUCAAUGUUUUUAUCAAUCCUUUCUACAAAUCUAAGAUGAAUUCUUUCAAAACAUAAAUACUAAAAUGUUUUAUUAAAAUAAUUGAUUAAUAAUAUUUAUCGGAAAACAUAAGAUUAAAACUGACUUGGAUUUUUGGGAGUUCAGAUUAAAUUUUCCUUUUCAAAUUCACGACUAUGACAAACUAUGAUAUAUAUAUAUAUAAUAUGUACAUUUAUUUGUUAUUAGUAAACACAGUUGAGCAAAUAUUUAUCUAAAUAAGUAUUCGAAUAAUUGUCUUUGAAAAUUAUAGUAGGAAAAUAUAUUUUAAUGUAAAUAGUGUUUAA